AUCCAGACGACGAGUCCCAAAUAGGACGGAAUGCGCAUCCUGGAU
rnacentral:hammerhead_ribozyme from 1 species